CGUGCUUAACACAUGCAAGUCGAACGGUGACCUCGAGAGCUUGCUCUUGGGUGAUCAGUGGCGAACGGGUGAGUAACGCGUGGGAACGUGCCCUUUGGUACGGAAUAGCCCCGGGAAACUGGGAGUAAUACCGUAUGUGCCCUUCGGGGGAAAGAUUUAUCGCCAAAGGAUCGGCCCGCGUUGGAUUAGGUAGUUGGUGGGGUAAUGGCCUACCAAGCCGACGAUCCAUAGCUGGUUUGAGAGGAUGAUCAGCCACACUGGGACUGAGACACGGCCCAGACUCCUACGGGAGGCAGCAGUGGGGAAUCUUAGACAAUGGGGGAAACCCUGAUCUAGCCAUGCCGCGUGAGUGAAGAAGGUCUUCGGAUUAUAAAGCUCUUUUACCAGGGACGAUAAUGACGGUACCUGGAGAAUAAGCCCCGGCAAACUUCGUGCCAGCAGCCGCCGUAAUAC
rnacentral:rRNA from 1 species